CCCUUAGAUGUUCUGGGCCGCACGCGCGCUACACUGACGAUGGCAACGAGUUUUUCCUUCGCCGAAAGGUGUGGGUAAUCUUUUGAAACAUCGUCGUGCUGGGGAUAGAUCAUUGCAAUUUUUGCUCUUGAACGAGGAAUUCCUAGUAAGCGCGAGUCAUCAGCUCGCGUUGAUUACGUCCCUGCCCUUUGUACACACCGCCCGUCGCUACUACCGAUUGAAUGGUUUAGUGAGGACUCCUGAUUGGCGCCGCCGCCCCGGCAACGGAGCAGCGGACUGCCGAAAAGUUGUUCAAACUUGAUCAUUUAGAGGAAGUAAAAGUCGUAACA
rnacentral:rRNA from 1 species